AUUGAACGCUGGCGGAAUGCUUUACACAUGCAAGUCGAACGGCAGCACGGGGCAACCUGGUGGCGAGUGGCGAACGGGUGAGUAAUACAUCGGAACGUGCCCAAUCGUGGGGGAUAACGUAGCGAAAGUUACGCUAAUACCGCAUACGAUCUACGGAUGAAAGCGGGGGAUCGCAAGACCUCGCGCGAAUGGAGCGGCCGAUGUCAGAUUAGGUAGUUGGUGGGGUAAAGGCUCACCAAGCCAACGUAUCUGUAGCUGGUCUGAGAGGACGACCAGCCACACUGGAACUGAGACACGGUCCAGACUCCUACGGGAGGCAGCAGUGGGGAAUUUUGGACAAUGGGCGCAAGCCUGAUCCAGCCAUUCCGCGUGCAGGAUGAAGGCCUUCGGGUUGU
rnacentral:rRNA from 1 species